AACGAACGCUGGCGGCAUGCCUAACACAUGCAAGUCGAACGAGACCUCCGGGUCUAGUGGCGCACGGGUGCGUAACGCGUGGGAACCUGCCCUUAGGUUCGGAAUAACUCCCCGAAAGGGGUGCUAAUACCGGAUAAUGUCUUCGGACCAAAGAUCUAUCGCCUUUGGAUGGGCCCGCGUUGGAUUAGCUAGUUGGUAGGGUAAAAGCCUACCAAGGCGACGAUCCAUAGCUGGUCUGAGAGGAUGAUCAGCCACACUGGGACUGAGACACGGCCCAGACUCCUACGGGAGGCAGCAGUGGGGAAUAUUGGACAAUGGGCGAAAGCCUGAUACAGCAAUGCCGCGUGAGUGAUGAAGGCCUUAGGGUUGUAAAGCUCUUUUACCCGGGAUGAUAAUGACAGUACCGGGAGAAUAAGCUCCGGCUAACUCCGUG
rnacentral:rRNA from 1 species